rnacentral:rRNA from 1 species
AUUGAACGCUCUUGGCAGGCCUAACACAUGCAAGUCGAGCGGUAGCACGGGAGAGCUUGCUCUCUGGGUGACGAGCGGCGGACGGGUGAGUAAUGUCUGGGAAACUGCCUGAUGGAGGGGGAUAACUACUGGAAACGGUAGCUAAUACCGCAUGAUGUCGCAAGACCAAAGUGGGGGACCUUCGGGCCUCACGCCAUCGGAUGUGCCCAGAUGGGAUUAGCUAGUAGGUGGGGUAAUGGCUCACCUAGGCGACGAUCCCUAGCUGGUCUGAGAGGAUGACCAGCCACACUGGAACUGAGACACGGUCCAGACUCCUACGGGAGGCAGCAGUGGGGAAUAUUGCACAAUGGGCGCAAGCCUGAUGCAGCCAUGCCGCGUGUGUGAAGAAGGCCUUAGGGUUGUAAAGCACUUUCAGCAAGGAGGAAGGCGUUGUAGUUAAUAGCUGCAACGAUUGACGUUACUCGCAGAAGAAGCACCGGCUAACUCCGUGCCAGCAGCCGCGGUAAAACGGAGGGUGCAAGCGUUAAUCGGAAUUACUGGGCGAAAAGCGCACGCAGGCGGGUUUGUUAAGUCAGAUGUGAAAUCCCCGAGCUUAACUUGGGAACUGCAUUUGAAACUGGCAAGCUAGAGUCUUGUAGAGGGGGGUAGAAUUCCAGGUGUAGCGGUGAAAUGCGUAGAGAUCUGGAGGAAUACCGGUGGCGAAGGCGGCCCCCUGGACAAAGACUGACGCUCAGGCGCGAAAGCGUGGGGAGCAAACAGGAUUAGAUACCCUGGUAGUCCACGCUGUAAACGAUGUCGACUUGGAGGUUGUGCCCUUGAGGCGUGGCUUCCGGAGCUAACGCGUUAAGUCGACCGCCUGGGGAGUACGGCCGCAAGGUUAAAACUCAAAUGAAUUGACGGGGGCCCGCACAAGCGGUGGAGCAUGUGGUUUAAUUCGAUGCAACGCGAAGAACCUUACCUACUCUUGACAUCCAGAGAAUUUGCUAGAGAUAGCUUAGUGCCUUCGGGAACUCUGAGACAGGUGCUGCAUGGCUGUCGUCAGCUCGUGUUGUGAAAUGUUGGGUUAAGUCCCGCAACGAGCGCAACCCUUAUCCUUUGUUGCCAGCACGUAAUGGUAGGAACUCAAAGGAGACUGCCGGUGAUAAACCGGAGGAAGGUGGGGAUGACGUCAAGUCAUCAUGGCCCUUACGAGUAGGGCUACACACGUGCUACAAUGGCGUAUACAAAGAGAAGCGAACUCGCGAGAGCAAGCGGACCUCAUAAAGUACGUCGUAGUCCGGAUUGGAGUCUGCAACUCGACUCCAUGAAGUCGGAAUCGCUAGUAAUCGUAGAUCAGAAUGCUACGGUGAAUACGCUCCCGGGCCU